rnacentral:lncRNA from 1 species
UGGGCGAGAGAAGUGACUGAUCAUUAGAAAUCAAGGAAUAGGGGCAACUGAGUGGCUCAGUGGAUUUAAAAUCAGGCCUAGAGUCAGGAGGCCCUAGGUUCAAAUCUGACCUCAGACACUUCCCAGCUUUGUGACCCUGGAAAUCCCCAAGCCAACAAGGAGUCCCUGAGAC